rnacentral:rRNA from 1 species
AUUGAACGCUGGCGGCAUGCCUUACACAUGCAAGUCGAACGGUAACGGGCCUUCGGGUGCCGAUGAGUGGCGAACGGGUGAGUAAUGUACCGGAACGUACCUUUCAGUGGGGGAUAACGUAGCGAAAGUUACGCUAAUACCGCAUAUUCUGUGCGAAGGACAGCAGGGGGUCGCAAGAACUUGCGCUCAUUGACCGGCCGGUAUCAGAUUGGCUAGUUGGUGAGGUAAAGGCUCACCAAGGCGACGAUCUGUAGCGGGUCUGAGAGGAUGAUCCGCCACACUGGAACUGAGACACGGCCCAGACUCCUACGGGAGGCAGCAGUGGGGAAUUUUGGACAAUGGGGGCAACCCUGAUCCAGCCAUGCCGCGUGAGUGAAGAAGGCCUUCGGGUUGUAAAGCUCUUUCGGCCGGGAAGAAAUCGUAUCAGCUAAUACCUGGUGCGGAUGACGGUACCGGCAUAAGAAGCACCGGCUAACUACGUGCCAGCAGCCGCCGUAACAC